rnacentral:lncRNA from 10 species
CUCUGCUACUUUUUAAAUCAUCUAUGCUGUGCAAAAGUUUCACCCGGACACCUGGAUUCCCUUUCAAAAGCUGUGCGAUUUUCACAUUCUGCACACACAGAUGGAAAUAAUCUGAGGAAAUCCUUAUUGGGUAGCAACAAGAGGAAGAAAGAAUGAGGCACACGUGAUAGCGCUGUCAUGGACACCAUGGGUGCAAAAAUGAGGAUACUGAGACUCAAAGUGGUGAAGAGACUUAUCCAAUGUCAUAAGCUGGGAGCUAGGGUAUGACCCAAGCAGAACCUGUACACUGGAGCCCAGGAUUACUGACAAAGGACACACCUUCUCUAGCCCCUCCUGGUGGACUUCCUCAGCUACGAAGUGCUAUUAUCAUCUCCUAGAGCUGUGGUGAGAAUUAACUAAAAUAACAUGGAUGAAGCUCUUGCGCGGCACCUGGCACAUGCCCAACCUGACUGCUGUGUUCUGCCCUGAGUCUGCAGAGGCUGACCCUGGCCAGGAAAGUGGUUGGAAAAGCAUUUUUGCAGAGAGGCAGCCUGAAGGUGGUGGCUCUAUCGGGGCAAAGAACUGUAAGCAGAGACAAAAUGAAAGCCCUCUAGGCCCACAAUUGAUUCUAACGGCUGUGAGGGAAUGAGCUUCAACUACUGUUGAUGGGAGGGACUGUGUGCCAGGCACUGUGCUAGGGACUCUCAUGCAUGAUCUCAUUCAUCUUCUGCAUAACCCAAUGAGGUAUGAUCUACUAUCAAGUGUCUACAUUUGUAUUGGAUUGGUAUGUGUGCCCAACAAAGAAAGUGUCAUUUUUCCUUGGGAAUGAAAUCACAUCAUUUGUGAAGACUUAGUAGAGGCUAAAUGAGUACAAGCAGCAUUUACCUUAUUAAACAGAUAUUUUCAACAUUUAAAACAGUCUGACCAUCAAUGAUGAUGUUCAAAAACAUCUCAAGAUGUUUUAGAGCUAAAGCAAAUGAGAAAAUAUAGUAAAGGGCUGAUUCCUGUGGAUAUUCUGCAAAGGAAAGUAACAUGGUGGAGUGGAAGUGGGAUAAGGUUUGAAGCCAAAAGACCUGGUGGGCUUAAGGUCUCCAUUUAUUGGUUGUGUGACCUUGGAUAAGCCACUUCACCUCCUGGUGAGACUUGGGCAAAAUGGAGAUCAUAUUAAUCACCUCACAGUUUGUUACGCAUUGAGUAAAUGCACAUGUAAGCAUUAUUGACUGUAAAUGAUUAUGCAUAUUUUAAUUAUGGUAUAUCCAAGCCUGAUUUUUCAUCCAGUGCUUACAGUGCCCUGGGCAUAAUACUCAUUCAAUAAACAUUUGUUUGAUGAUAGAGUAAUAAAUGAAUAUGUGAUGCAGAAGUUUUAAAAAUAUUUUUGCUGCUGUCUGACUCAUUUAUAGACAUUUAUAAAAUUGAGGAUUUGUAAGUUGUCCCUGGACAAUCAGAUCUCUUGAUUCAAAGGUGAAAGAUAAUCAUUCAGGUUUUCAAGUUUUUCCUGAUAUGAGACAUUAACUGGCAGGGCUGAUUAUGAGAAAUUGUCAUUAUCCUGCUCAAAUAUAAGAUCAUAGAUUUGGGAAACCUUAGAAAUAAUUACCUUCUUUUCAAAUAUGAGGAAACUGAAGCCCAGAGGCUCUAAGAAAUCAGGGACUUUAUAUAAUUUUUUCAUUUCUCUAGCUCUAGGGUAAUUGUAGAUAGAUAUACAACAAGUAUGUUUUUAAAAGUAUAUUUUUCAAGAAUUAUGCUAAGCACUGGGGAAAUAAACAUUAACAAGACAAAACCCUCCCCUUUGAGGAACUGAUAAUCUAGACAGACAUGAAAACCAGGAAGUGUGCUAUCAGUUAUAUUAAUGUUGUACAGAGUUCUAGUGGCAAGAGGGAACUGCCAAGGGAAAUCUGAGAGGAGGUGUUUACCCUGCGUAAACACCUUGCUGUUUAGCUUGGCAUCCCUAGAAGCAGACCCUGAGGACAGUGGGAAAAUGGAUUAUUAAGGAAGUGCUCCUGAGAGAAACCAGAAAGGGGGUGUAGGGAGCAAGGGAGGAUAAGGAGAAGACUCCAGUAAGGAUGAGAUUACUCAAGUCCCAUGGAAGACAGGUUAGCCUGAUCCUGCAGGGGAGCCCUGGAGGACUUAACAUCUCUGGAAAGCCAGAAAUCAGAGAUACAGAGAAGUAUUGAAAUGCUGAAAUGCUAUGAAUUUACUAUAAGAGAACAUUCUUCACUGAAGAGAUCUCUAGCUGCCAAAACACCCUUUCAUGCGUGAAAUACCGGGGCAAAGAGGAAGGAAAAGAGAAGAGUAUGACUCUAGGAACCAUGUUGCAGAAAUGCCAAAGGGUGGGACAAACAAAGUUACUAAUGUGGAGAAAGAAGAUUAUCAUGUGUGGAACGAAGGACAAUAUGAACAUUAAAUAAUGCCCUGACUCAUUCCAAAAAGAAUCUGAGAUGACCAAUAAAGCCAUUUUUAAUUGUUUAUUAGUGAACAAUAGAUUAUGAGUGCUAAAGGGAUUCAGGAAGAAGAAAGAUCAGUGCAGAGUAGAGAAGUCUGAUGGAUGCAUUGAAGAAGCUAUGCUUGAGCUGAAAUGACAAGAGAGCUGUUUUUCGCUUUCAGAAUUAUUAUGUGGCAAUGGUAAUUGACAACAGAGAAGCUGAAGGGAGGAAGUCACUUUAUGGGAGCAGAGUCACUCUCAAGUAAUAGCUGGCCAUACAGAUUGCUCUGGACCAAGGGUGAAUGUGAAGAAGAAAAGACCGGCCAGCAACACAAUGGAAUAUCUAGAGUCAUAUUGAGGGAAAUACUUAGAUUGCUGAUUUCUUAGUGGAUUUCACAAGCAGAGCUGCUUGUGAGCAGAAUGGUGAAGUAGGGGCAUGUGUUUCUGGGGUCUUAUUCCAUGGCUUCCUUCCACCUACAAGAGUCAUCCUCACGGAGUACUUGCAUUUCAGUAGAAGAAAAAAAUCUUAUAGAUGGAAGGGAAGGAUGGGGUUCCUGCUUUAGGAAGAUUGGCAUGGUCAUAAGUCUGAGCAAGGAAGGGCCCAGGGCAGCUCAGAGCUCUGAGCAGGAAGCUCUAAUUAGUUACUGAAUAUGGUGCAAGCACAAAGAGAGCGUAGUGUUUUCCCUUUCCAUCUGUGGAAGUCUUGGCCAUGCUUACUUGGGCGUUCCUUCCAGGAAACAUUUAUUUUUCCUCUUUAAUGCCCUCCUCAUAUCUAUGCUCUCAGUAGAGGAUGCCACUGCUUCUGGCACCUGGAUAAUAGAAUGAAGCUGAUUGGGAUGGAAACAGAAAAGUCAUCUCUCAGAACAAUGAGCAGAGACUGAAACUCCCUUGUACCCAGUCCCUGUGCACUGCUGUUCAUAGCCAAAUGGGCAAGGCCUUGCCAAAUGUCAUGUUGAGGUGAGGCCCUAAGUGAUAGAAAAAUAAAAAAUGACUAUGGCCACUUGCAUGUUCAGAGAAUUCAGUUUAGAAAAUGCUAUGCUGGGAGGAUCUCUCUUAAUAUCUUGUUUGCAUCAGAAUGUUCAAGUUGCAAUAUAUGUUUUUGUUUUGUGUAUUUAUUUAUUUUCCUCUACUCUAUUCUGUUAAGUCUUUUAGGGCAAAGGUAGGGUAGUCUAUACUCCCUGCGUUAUCCAUAAUGCCUAGCACUGUGUCUUGUACAUAAAAGGUCAUAAUAAAUACCUGUUGGCUAGAUAGAUGAAUGGAUAGAGUGCCUCAUUUAGAAGCAUUAUACUUCUAUGGAAAAAAAUUUUUAAAUGUAUUUUUUUCUAUGAGAUAACACAGUUCCUGAAUAGGUCAUGGGCAGGUGCUAUUCAAGUUUGCGAAGGAAAGGUUUUCCUAGAGUUAGGGUAAUUUUUUCCUCAAAUAAGAAAAACCUACAGUAAAUAAUUACUCUCCAUAUUAUCUUUAGGUUUCUUGCCAGUAUUAACAUCUUUUUUAUUGUAAGUGAUGAUAUUGUCUGUGAGAACAUUACAGUAGGUUAGUAUCCUGGGUUAAGCUAAGUGUUGUUGAAAAUAAUCCUGGACAUCCAAACAGGAAGAGAGGAAGUCAAACUAUUCCUGUUUGCAAAUAACAUGAUUCUAUAUCUAGAAAACCCUGUAAUGUCAGCCCCAAGGCUCUGUGAGAUCAGAGAUAAAUAACCUCAGCAAAGUCAACAUACAAACAUCAGUAGCAUUCCUUAUACAAACAACAUCCAAGCUGAUGGCCAAAUCAGGAUGCAAUCCCAUUCACAAUUGCCCCCCCAAAAAUAUAAAAUACUUAGGAAUACAGCUAACCAGGGAUGUGAAAGAUCUCUAUAAUAAGAAUUACAAAACACUGCUCAAAAAAUCAUAGAUGACACCAAAAAUUGGAAAAAUAAUCCAUGCUCAUGGAUUGGAUGAAUCAAUAUCAUUAAAAUGGCCAUACUGCCCAAAGCAAUUUACAGAUUUCACAGAUUCAGUGCUAUUCCUAUCAAAAUAUCAAUGACAUUUUUCGUGGAAUUAGAAAAAACUAUUUUAAAAUUGACAUGGAACCCAAAAGGGACCCCGAAUAGUCGAGGCAAUCCUAAACAAAAAGAACAAAGCUGGAGGUAUUAUAUUACCCAAUGUCAACAUAUACUACAGGGCUAUAGUAACCAAAAGAGCAUGGUACUGGUACAAAAACAGACACAUAGACCAAUAGAACGUAAUAAAGAGCCCAGAAAUAAUGUCACACCACUUACAACCAUCUGAUCUUCAAUAAAGCUGACAAAAACAAACAAUAGGGAAAAGAUUCCUCAUUCAAUAAAUGGUGCUGGGAUAACUGGCUAGUCAUAUGCAGAAGAUUGAAACUGGACACCCCACCUUACACUACAUACAAAAAUCAGUGUAAGAUGAAUUAAAGGCUUAAAUGUAAAACCUAAAACUAUAAAAACCCUGAAAGAUAACCUAGGAAAUACCAUUCUGGACAUAGAACUUGGCAAAGAUUUCAUGAUGAAGACAACAAAAGCAAUUGCAACAAAAACAAAAAUUGACAAAUGGGAUCUAAUUAAACUGAAGAGCUUCUGAACAAAAAAAGAAACUAUCAACAGAGUAAACAGACAACCUACAGAAUGGGAGAAGAUAUCUGCAAACUAUGCAUCCAACAAAGGUCUAAUAUCCAGAUGCUGUAAGGAACUUAAAUUUAUAAGCAUAAACAAACAACCCCAUUAAAAAGUGGGCAAAGGACAUGAAGAGAUACUUUUCAAAAGAAGACAUAUAUGUGGCCAACAAGCAUAUAAAAAAUGCUCAACAUCACUAAUCAUUAGAGAAAUGCAAAUUAAAACCACAGUGAAAUACCAUCCCACACCAGUCAGAAUGGCUAUUAUUAAAAGUUGAAAAAUAAUAGGUGCUAGCAAUGUUGUGGAGAAAAGGGAACACUUAUACACCACUGAUGGGAAUGUAAAUUAGUUCAGCCACUGUAGAAAGCAGUUGGGUGAUUCCUCAAAGAACUUAAAAAAACAGAGUUACCAUCCAACCUAGCAACCCCAUUAUUGGGUAUAAUCCAAAGGAAUAUAAAUUGUUCUAUCAUAAAGACACAUGCACAUGUAUAUUCAUUGCAGCACUAUUCGCAAUAAGAAAGAUAUGGCAUCACCCUAAAUGCCCAUCAGUGGUAGACUGGAUAAAGAAAAUGUGGUGCAUAUACACCAUGGAAUACUAUGCAGCCAUAAAAAACAAUGAGAUCAUGUCCUGUGAAGCAACAUGGAUGGAUCUGGAAGCCAUUAUCCUAAGCAAACUAACACAAGAACAGAAAACCAAAUAUGGCAUGUUCUUACAAGUGGAAGCUAAACAAUAGGAACACAUGGAUAUUAGAAGGGUAACAGAAGAUAUUGGGGCCUACUUGAGGGUGGAAAGUGGGAGGAAGGAGAGGAUCGGAAAAAUACCUAUUGGGUACUAUGUUUAUUACCUGGAUGAUAAAAUUAUCUGUCACCAAACCCCUGUGACAUGCAGUUUACCUAUAUAACAAACCUGCACAUGUACCCCUGAGCCUAAAAUAAAAGUUUAAAAAAAAAAAAGAAAAUACACCUGGACCCUAUUUUGAAAGACAUACUGUAGACUUGAGGGAGGAAGAGCAGAGGGAUGGAAAGGGCCCCGAAUUACCCACAAGCCAUGUGAAUGCUUAAGCAGUCAUGGACCACAAUUCUCACCACACACACACACACACACACACACACACACACACACACACACACACAGGUCUGAACCCUUACCCCUGUCUACUACUUAUUGGAGCUUGGUAGAAAAAAAGUUGUGAGUGACAGAAAAGUGAGAAAAAGAGAAGAAGAAGAAAAAUUGGAAAGUGUGGAAGAAAAAGUGGCAAAUGCAAGCAGCCCUUAAUGGAACUGUGCUGAAUUGAGAGACAGCAGAAGGUAACAGCUGGCUGGGACUUGGCCAUGAAAGGUGGAAUGUGAGGAGACAAAUGAAAUGGAAAUGCAGGAAAGAAUGGAGUGGCAAAGGAGGCUGGAGAUGGGGCAGAGGAUAGCAAGGGGAGAGAAGGAAGCACAGAAAGGGUGUGGGGGACAGGCCAGAGAGUAGAAGGCUAGAUGGAACUGACUGAUGCCACCAGUCAGAGAUGGAGACCAUUAACAAUGUGUAGGGAAACCCCUGCCUUCCCAAUAAUGAAAAUGCAGGUUUAAUCAGUACCAAGGAACACUGUGAAGUAAGGGCAUUGACUUGGGAAGUGAAAGCCGAAGAUAGAGCAAACCCCAUACGGCAUAUCCUAACUCGCCAUUUUAACAGCAGAAAGACUCGAAAAUACAAAGCAAAGGAUUAUCCAAAGGGCUUUUUAAAAUAAUGCUUAAAAUUUUAAUCUUGUAAAUAUAUUUCCCUUCCCAGUAUGAAAAUAAUUCCGAGUAUAAUCUUUAUUUACUUUCCCCUUUUUAUUUUAGAAGAGUAAACAUAGCUUUAAGAAUUAAAAAAAUCAGUUAAUAAUCUGACUUUUAAGUCAGCUGUAAAAAUGUAAGUUUCUAGCUCUGCCACUUUUUAGUAGUGUGACUUUGGGCAAAUUGCUCAAAAACUCCAAAUUCUUGUUUCUUUACCUACAAAAAAGGGACAAUAAUACAUACCUCCUAUGAUAGUAGAAAAUUACGUGAAAAUAUACUCCAAGUAUCUCAGAGGGCUUGAUUUCCAGAAAGCGCCCAAGCUCAAUCAAUAGUGACGUUUACUAUCCACGCAGCCAGUUCUACUACUGGGAGUUGGUUGGUGCUGAUAAAGCUUUUUGUCAGACUUCUCACAAUUUCCAUUGUGAGAAGAUGUAGCUUCCAAUUAACUCUGUCACUGAUUGUUGGGUAACUUUGGGCCAAAUGCUGUUCCUUAAUGAAUGUGGGUGUGAAACUUAUUAAGAUUAAUGACUGUCACAGCUGUUAGCCAGAUGUUUACAUAAUUCCCUCUGUUUUACAGCAAUCAUAUCAGAGGAAAGGGGUUGAAUGAUAGAAUUAGAAAAAUAAGUACAAUAUUGUGGGAAUGAAUAAAUGUUGUUUUGGAGGGUAGGAGAUUAAAAUCCUAAAUGUAUUUUGAUUAGGCUAAUAUUAAAAAUUAGCAUCUGUAAAUCAGUAAUCUAAUUGAAGGAAUUUUUUAACACAAGUGACUGGUGGAGGGGACACAGCAUGGGAGGGCAUGCUUACAGCAAGAGCUCCAUUGAUUAAAUAGUCCCCUGCAGAACACAGAGAGUUAAAUACGUCUUUAAUAGCCUCCAGCAUGAAAGGGCAAAUCAUUUGUUUUAAUUGAGGAAGGAUAAAAUAUUUUUGCUUUACACAUAUAUGUUCUAUUUUAGCAUCAUAGUUAUUUUUAUAGCUGUUAUAACUUCACAAAACCUAAUAGGAAAAUAAAUCUGAAUCCAGAAGAGUUCAAUACUUUCCAGAGGAGUCUAGUAAAUAAAAACUCUACACUGACUGACUGAUCUUAUUCAUGCACUGCUCCUAAACCCAAACUCUCAAGUGAAGGGAAAAGAGGUUAAUUCGUUGGAAUAAAUUCAUGGGAUUUUUUUUUAAAGACACAUCCUGAAUCAAAGUGAUUAAAACAACAAAUGGAUAAAGGGUAGAGCUGUGAGAGGACAAGGUUUGCAUUACUGAGCAUCUUGAUUAUGUGGGGAAGAUGGGAAACAGAUCUUGCCCAUUCUGGUCUCAAACUACUAAAUCCUGAGAAUGCCAAGAGGCGAGUCACUGAAGUCAGAAGUUGGAAACAUGGCUAAGCUGUCCAGAGUGUGGAACACAUGGUCUCUGAAGGUUUUUAUUAGUGUGUGGGUGAGAGUUCAGAAGCUCUACUAAUUACUUUUGUUUUCAGAAUUUAUAAAGUUAAGACAGAAAGCGGAAUAUUAACACUUCACUUCCUCGUGCAGUCAUUAAUUUACUCACUUAGCAUACAUUUAUUCAUAGAAGCUUAUUGGUACCAAGUAUACCCUCAAUGAGCAACCAACCCAAAAUUGCAAAAGGGAGAUCAAACAGGGAAGCUGUGGUAGGAAGUAUCAUGGCCUCUUCAAAGAUGUCUAUAUACUAAUCACAGAAUUUAUGUAUAUGUGAUGCUGUAUGUCAAGGGAAGAUUAAGGUGUGCAGAUGGAAUUAAGGUUGCUAAUCAGCUGACCUUAAAAUAGGAGUACUAUCUUGGAAUAUCUGGGUGGGCUCAAUGUAAUCACAAAUGUUCUUAACAGAUAGAAGAAGAAGGCAGAGGAGUCAGUGUUGGAGUGAUGCCAUGUGAGAAAGACUCAACUGGCCAUUGCUGGCUUUGAAAAUGGAAGGAGGCAUAAGCCAAGGAAUGAAUGCAGGUGCCUCUAGAACCUGGAAAAAGCAAGGAAACAAAUUCUCCUCUAGAACCUCCAGAAGGAAUGCAUUCCUGCCAACACCUUGAUUUUUAGCUCGGUGAGACCCAUGCUGGACUUCUGACCUGCAGGAUUGCAAGAUAAGAUAUUUGACUUAUUUUAAGAUGCUAAGUUUGCAGUAAUUUGAUAUGGUAGCCAUCGGAAACUAAUACCGAUGCCAAAGCAGUAAAGCAGGAAAGCACUCCAAAAUCACAGGAGUGAGAGGAGCAGAAAUGUCCUAGGAGAAGACAAUGUUUCCUUUUGAAAAGGAAAGUUUACUGGCAACUUCCAUUUGAAUUUCUUAAUUUCUUUCCUCAGUGGCAGUCACUACUUCCAAGGUGGCAGGUUCCAGAGCUGAUUCAUUAUAUAAUCUUUUCUCAGGAGUAUUCUAGCCACCUUUAAAGAAGCUAGGGCCAUUUUCCUGACACUGCAUCAAGGGGUAAGGUUAGUGGUAAAGAAACCAUGCGGUAGGAAAGGCCAACUUUCUCCCUACAUAAUCCAAUCGCAUUAUCUCCAGACUUGCUCACCCUCUGCUCUUUGCAUACUGCAGCUCCAGAGCUUUCAUACCUACAGACUUCCUGGAGUUAAGACUAAAACAAGAGUUGUGCUACAGACUACCGUUCCUAUUAUCAUUUUUUGUGUCCUGCUGAGUCCUCCCCUCUUGGCAACUUCAGGACCACCCACUGGGAAGAUAAUAUACAACCCAUCAGGAAACUCCCAGUGCCCAUCGUGGAGGCCAAGUGCUGCCAACUCUGAUUGCUUCUGGAAUGCCAUUUCUUCCCUGCCCUUUCAAUAUUCUUGUUAUGCGACUCCUAUGAUCACUGCCAAUCUGUAGAAAAUUACAGGAUGAAUUUUUGUGAAGGACUGAAUUUGCAUACUGGUCUUUUGUUGUUUAUUGUUGGGGGGAUUUUGCUUUUUGCACACAAUUUCUGCACAUUUUAUUGGAAGUUAUUGGGUUAGAUUCAUCCCAUUCAUUCACUAGCCUGGCAUUGCUAUGCAUGUGCUGUAGGGGCUUAGCAUUAAACGAUUUUCUUUGUUCAGAUUUGGAUUGCUGUCUCUGCUUGCAAAUUAUUUUUCACAAUGACUCCUUCUUUUCCUUCUCUCUCUCUCUCUUUCUCUCUCUCUCUCUCUCACACACACACACAGACACACACACACACACACACACACACACACACACACACACACAGAUGAGGUUAGAUAUUUUUCCAUUGCCAAGUUCAGGACCCAUGAAUAC